rnacentral:rRNA from 1 species
GACAGAGGGUGCAAACGUUGCUCGGAAUUACUGGGCGUAAAGCGCGUGUAGGCGGUCUGCUAAGUCGGGUGUGAAAGCCCUGGGCUCAACCCAGGAAGUGCACUCGAAACUGGCAGGCUAGAGUACUGGAGAGGUUGGUGGAAUUCUCGGUGUAGAGGUGAAAUUCGUAGAUAUCGAGAGGAACACCGGUGGCGAAGGCGGCCAACUGGACAGAUACUGACGCUGAGACUCGAAAGCGUGGGGAGCAAACAGG